rnacentral:lncRNA from 10 species
AUGGUCUCUCAAGAGCCCUGGAAACGUGUGUCGGCGCCGCCGGAUGCGGCGACUUCUCAGUGGCUGUGGCUGGCGUUGGUCCGAAGCGUGGUGUUCUUCCCUGGUGUCUUUCUGCUUAUCUCUUUCCUCCCUGGGCCCUCCGGCGCGAGGGACCGUCAUCACCUCCCCGAGAGAGGUUGUCCGCGCUGCCAGGCGCUGGGCAGCAGGCUCUCCGGGUGGCCGGGCGGGCGGCGCGGAGACGUCGGCGGGCCUGAUGUCUGCCUUGAGCGCCCGCGGUCCUAGCCUGCCUGUACGCGCAGGUCACUGUAGGUGAUCUGGGGACGGGGGAAGGUGGAGCCUGCGCCUUCCCGCCUCGCGCCAUUUGCGGCCUUCGCCGGGGUGGAAUCCCUGUCUGCCUGGGCCCGCGCCAGCACGUUUCUGAAGGAUGUGACUUGGGUCUCUUACAACCCGUUUAGUACCUGUGCCCUAAGACGGAGGGGCUGUGUAGUGGCUGCCCCAUGUUUUGCCCUUCCUGAUUGUUUUCCUGAAACCUUGCGUUCUCAGGUCUUUGGAUGCCUUUUACUCGGUUGUUUUCAGGCAUAGCAAGAGGUUGAGGGACGUCGACCGCCUUUUAAACCCGCGGAAGGGCUGUAGCAACUCUUGUCUCCUAGUGCUGGCAGAACGGGGAUCGUAACACUAAUCUCUAAUCUUUGUCUCUCUUGGGUACCUUUACUGUAAUUUGGAUAUGUGGUCAUCAUUAGUGACCAGAAAUUGACUGUCAGGUACAGGCCAAUUACCUGAUUUUGUUUAGCCAGUGAGCUAAGUGGUUUUUUUUAUUUUUUAAUUUAUUUUUAUUUUUAUUUUCGAGAUGGAGUCUUGCUCUGUCACCCAGUCUGGCGUGUAGUGGCACGAUCUUGGCUCACUGCAACCUCCGCCUCCCGGGUUCAAGCAAUUCUCCGGCUUCAGCCUCCUGAGUAGCUGGGAUUACAGGCGCAUGCCACCACCCCCCGGCUAAUUUUUGUAUUUUUAGUAGAGACGGAGUUUCACCAUGUUGGCCAGGCUGGUUCUCGAACUCCUGACUUCGUGAUCCACCCGUCUUGGCCUCCCAAAGAGCUGGGAUUACAGGCGUGAGCCACCGCGCCUGGCUAAGG